AUCCUUUUGUAGUUCAUUAGCAUGAUGAUUGGGUUUUCACACUCAGGCGUGAGAUGUGCCUCUCUCAAACCUUGUUACGAUGUUGGCACAUUACCUAUCUGGCA
ensembl:snoRNA